AAGAAAGAAGUUUAUAACUUAAGGAAUUAUAACAAAGAAGUAACACAUAAUAAGGUUGCCUUAUUUAGUGUGUAUCAAUCGAGUUUCUGACCUAUCAGCUUUUGAUGUUAGGGUAUUGGCCUAACAUGGCUAUGACGGGUAACGGGGAAUUAGAGUUCGAUUCCGGAGAGGGAGCCUGAGAAAUAGCUACCACAUCUAAGGAAGGCAGCAGGCGCGUAAAUUACCCAAUUCUAAAGAAGAGAGGUAGUGACAAGAAAUAACAAUACAAGGCCAUUUCAUGGUUUUGUAAUUGGAAUGAUGGGAAUUUAAAACCUUCCCAAAAUUCAAUUGGAGGGCAAGUCUGGUGCCAGCAGCCGCGGUAAUUCCAGCUCCAAUAGCGUAUAUUAAAAUUGUUGCAGUUAAAACGCUCGUAGUUGAAUUUCAAAGAAUCAAUAUUUUAAGUAAUACUUUUGCUAUAAGAUGCUUAGACAAUACAACGUAUCUGUUCUUUGCAUUCCUUAUGCAAAAUGUGUUCUUAUUAUAAAAAGGAUUCUUUUUAAAAUCUCUUUUGCUAUUUUUUAGUAUUGGAGAUUUUGUUACUUUGAGUAAAUUAGAGUGUUCAAAGCAAACAGUUAAAGCAUUUUU
rnacentral:rRNA from 1 species